GCACGAGGAAAAAAAAAAAAAGUCCCAGUGUUUUUGACGACGGGACAACCGGCCGUUCCUCCCCAGUACACCCCGGGUCACAGUACAGUAAUGACCGUGGGUUGUGCGUUGUAGGACUUGACCUUUCCUACGUAGAAGAGGGCGCUUUCCUCCACGCUACGGGGAGGGGAGGGAGGGGGGAGCGGCGGGAGGAAGAGAGAUGCUCUCUUUGGGGAUGUUUAAUCACAGUUCAGAUCUAGGAACGGGCAAAGCUUCUGCCUUUCAGCACGCCAUGUUGAAGCUAUUCAGUGGAGCAAGAAUUUUUUGUCUUUUUUUUUUUUUUUUUUUUAUUUUAAGGGGGGUGCGGAGGCGGGAGUGAGGCCGGAGGGAGGGAGGAGAGGGGGAAGAAAGACUUAAUGAACAUUCGCAUUUCGUACCCUAGUUCAUGAAUCAACUGCAUUCAAGGAGGAGGGCGCCCGGGGGAAAGGGAAGGGCUCAUGGCGUGGUUAAAACACCCGCGGACCCUGUGGCCGCGGCAGAGGCGCAUGGGCCCGGAACCCACCGCUCCACGUCCCCGCCAGCCCACGCGGAAAAGCCACCAUCUGGUCUGCCCCUCUUCUUUUUGGGCUUCUUUACCGGCCGAGAAAGCGCAAGGCCAUCUCUUCAAAUCAUCAUUAAAGUGCGUUAAAACGCAUCUAAAAGUUAUGAAUGGCAACUAACGGCCUUUUAGCGCCUGCCAAUAUAUAUAUAUAUAUUUUUUGUAUUAAAUGCUGUCUUGCUUUUAUUGCUAACGCUGCCCACGGAGAAUGCUGAAAUGGACUAGGAAUGAGGUUUUAUUUAAGCCAUAGCCAUUAAAAAAACCCUUUAAUUUAUAGGCUAAAGGACGAGAUCCUUACCCGUUCGUUCAGAAGAGUACAGAAUAAAGUCAGUGCUCUGGAAACACAGGGAGCUUUUAUUUUCUGAACAUUUCUAUCUAGAGCCCCACAUUUUUUCCAUUUGCUUCAGAGGCUGUCUUAGACAACGAGCGUUUUUAAGUGGGGGUCUUUCUGAGCAGAAGACGUUGGGAAAAGAUAAAGCUUUGCAGUCCUACUUAUCAUUCUUUUUCGAAAAUAUGGUCCUGUCAAGGUUUAUUUCCCAUAGCAUACCACCUCUGCUACUGCCAAGUGCUAGAGGCGGGGGUAAAUUAAAUACUGGAUUAUUCUAUGUGUGGGAAAAAAUACAAAACAUUCGCUCUACCCGUUCGUCCGCAUCAAAGACGUAAGGCCACUUUCUGUCCAUGUGAAUUUCAAAUUUGAGGGACGAAGGACACCAGGAAUUCGGUGAUUAUAAACCAACAUGUCCAGACACUGGGAAUUAAAGGAUACGUGCCAAAUCGCACAAUAAUUAUUUCGAGUGAAACUGAACUAAUAUUUUUUGUCUUUAAUUGCGUUUUGCGUUUUACGCUGGGAAUGAAAUAUUGCUCUGACAUUAAUGUUUCAAUAAAUACGCUAAAUAUACAUAAUAACUUGCUCCUUCUGUUCCCUGCGUCCCUCUGCACAUCCGUUAAAACGUUAUACCUAACAUUUUAAUUUCUAGGGGACGUGAGAAAAUAGAGACCCUACUUUGUUUAUGUAUUACAAAAAAAAAUUGUUUUAUUUUCAAAUGCUUCCUAUUUUUUUAAGCUCCUGCAAAUAAAACUCCUCACACAUAUAACUCUACCCAGCAAUCCAGGCACAAUAAGUUCACCACCAGCAUUUUAAAACAUCCUCAGUAACGCGGGGAAUAUAAAUAAUAAUUCUCUCCGAACCGCGCGCAGGGACGGACGUCGUGAAGUAAUGUAUCACGUUGCUUAAUUAUUUUCCUUGGUGAUAUAUUUACUUGUAAAAGAUAUUAGGGGUGUAUUUUAGGACGUUGGCGGCAGAUUGGUGAGAGGGGAAUAUGUAAUACAACAGCAAUUUGUACUUGAAAAUGUAUGUGCCAACAGCUUUUGGACGGUAAAUGAAGGUAAUAAAUAACAUGAAUACGCACACCUACGCAGCCGCUCUCCCCCACGCUCCGAAGCCACAACUACCCGGCGGCGGGACGGGGGGACUGGGGCGCGGGGGGCUGCGUGGCUGUAGCCGUGGGUAGACAGAGACGCGGGAAGACCGAGGCGGGUGGGGACGCAGGCCCCGUGGACAGGGAUUCUUUCGCGACUCGGAAAGCCACAGACACGCCGGUCCUGAUGCAGAGUCGCCGCACGACCGCGGCCCAGAGGGCUCCACCGGGCACCGCCGCUCCCAGCAGCCCACUCCCUAGGGGUGCCCCGGUGAGGGAGUCACGGAGCUCCCGGCCUUUACUCACCUGACUCGCCCCCGAGAUACGUUUCGCGAAUGGAGCCUCGAGGCGGGCCCGAGGAGAUGGCAGCGGGUCCGAGAGGAGCCGCCGGCCCCGCGGGACCGGGCGCGGAGCCGCAACCGCGCCCGCUGCAGGCCUGGGUGUCCGGGGGAGUCACCCCAUCGGAGUGUGGGAGCUCCUGCUCCUCCGAUGAGGCUCUCCGCUUCAGGGCCGGGAAACACGACCUUGCUCCUCCUGCUGAAGCCUGCGAGAUCCUCGACACUGAUUUACAUGGUAGCAGGGGUCCGAUCCAAAAUGUCACCUUACUCCUGCCAGCGAUCGCCAGUCAAGUGCUCCCCUUUUUACUCUGUGAAAUAUAUAUGCGGCAGAGCUAUUUGAACAGUAGUGGGAAUUUAAAUUCGCUAAUCCACAGUCAGUCCAGAAAUGCUUAACAGAUUUGAACGGUAGGUAGUACAGUGUGAAAACAUAAUCUUGAAACGCUAGCUCCGAUUAAAAGUUACUCUUAAAAAAAAAAAAAUUUGUUAUUUUACUAAUGUCGGCCAUGUUCUCGUUAUGGAUUUCUUCCAAGGUGCCCCUUGAAUUAUAUAGCGCUCUUGGCCAUGGUGUGAAAAUAGAAGAUCCUGUCUAAAAUACAGAGAACUCGAAUCCUUCCUAUGACACUAAUCUCCGACCUGCAGCACGUGUAAUUUGCGGAAUAAUGAUACAAGUUGAGAAAUAUAACGGAAUAAAUACAGUUACUAACUCGGAGCGAGAACAAGUGUAAUUCACAAGUGCCUUUUUUCAGGCAACGCAGCUCAUUCCGGAGAAAGCGUGGCAAUGAGAUGGCUGUCCGGUGCCCGCAGCCGAGGCAAACCGGUGGUUAUCUGCCCGCGGACGGCAGGUACCGUCAGUUAGAAACGGCCCCCGUAGCCAGUCCUCAGCCUCCGCGCAGGGUGCAACAGGGAGUAACAGCUGCCCGCGCCUCCGGCAGCCCCACCGCGGGGGUUUGCUGCCUGUUCCAUCUCCGCUGAAAAUCCCAGGUCGCGGGGAUGCUGCGGGAGUCGUGGAGGCUGCUGGCUCCUCAGAGGUGAGGGGAGUCCCAGCCAGCUCCCCUCGACCGUAGAUAGACCAAGUCCCUGCUCGCCGGGGAUGGUUAUUGUCCUCUCGGGCGGUGUUGCGCCCGUGGGUCUUUCCCCUUGGUCCUUUGCACGGUACCGCAGGCCUCGGGCAGGCCAGGUCCUUGUCACAGCGGCUGCCCCCGGUCACCUCACAGGGACACCAAAGCAUAACAACGACCUCACGGCCUGGAAACCGACUGCCACUUAUGUACCUCUCCCUGGCUAUUUUCGCGACGGGACGAGGAAAAUCUCGUUCAUAAAGUCUCUGACCGGCCUCCGAAGGGACGAGGCCCGUAUUCCCACGCUCCGCCUGAGAAACCACAGCGCUCCGCGGCCUCGAAAGCUUCGAGAGGCUGGAAGAUAAAGUGCCCGCACACCGCGGGAAGGCUAAAAGCCCGCACGGAGCCCAAAGCCCCCGACACAACAGCCUCCUGGAAAACAGAUCCCUCUCUUGCAGGUCAAGGUUUCAGGCCUUCCCCGUCCUGUCAUCGCCACGCAGCCCACCCCCCACCUUCCCGCCGAGGCAUCGCCAGGCUGGGCAGCGUCCCCCCAUCCCGGAGGCCGGCUGCUGGGCUCCAUUUGCUGUUUGCGAUGUUUUAAAUUUGCUAUCAAGAUAGAUCCUCCACAGAGCUUCCUUCAUUACUGAUGUCUCUGAAAUCCUUAUUCAGUACCUUCGAGGUCUAUUAUUACUUUCUGACAUUAAAUGCAUUGCUUAAACACA